AUGAACGCUAGCUACAGGCUUAACACAUGCAAGUCGAGGGGCAUCAGGAAGAAAGCUUGCUUUCUUUGCUGGCGACCGGCGCACGGGUGAGUAACACGUAUCCAACCUGCCCUUUACUCGGGGAUAGCCUUUCGAAAGAAAGAUUAAUACCCGAUGGCAUAAUGAUUCCGCAUGGUUUCAUUAUUAAAGGAUUCCGGUAAAGGAUGGGGAUGCGUUCCAUUAGGUUGUUGGUGAGGUAACGGCUCACCAAGCCUUCGAUGGAUAGGGGUUCUGAGAGGAAGGUCCCCCACAUUGGAACUGAGACAUGGUCCAAACUCCUACGGGAGGCAGCAGUGAGGAAUAUUGGUCAAUGGGCGCUAGCCUGAACCAGCCAAGUAGCGUGAAGGAUGAAGGCUCUAUGGGUCGUAAACUUCUUUUAUAUAAGAAUAAAGUGCAGUAUGUAUACUGUUUUGUAUGUAUUAUAUGAAUAAGGAUCGGCUAACUCCGUGCCAGCAGCCGCGGUAAUACGGAGGAUCCGAGCGUUAUCCGGAUUUAUUGGGUUUAAAGGGAGCGUAGGUGGACUGGUAAGUCAGUUGUGAAAGUUUGCGGCUCAACCGUAAAAUUGCAGUUGAUACUGUCAUUCUUGAGUACAGUAGAGGUGGGCGGAAUUCGUGGUGUAGCGGUGAAAUGCUUAGAUAUCACGAAGAACUCCGAUUGCGAAGGCAGCUCACUGGACUGCAACUGACACUGAUGCUCGAAAGUGUGGGUAUCAAACAGGAUUAGAUACCCUGGUAGUCCACACAGUAAACGAUGAAUACUCGCUGUUUGCGAUAUACAGUAAGCGGCCAAGCGAAAGCAUUAAGUAUUCCACCUGGGGAGUACGCCGGCAACGGUGAAACUCAAAGGAAUUGACGGGGGCCCGCACAAGCGGAGGAACAUGUGGUUUAAUUCGAUGAUACGCGAGGAACCUUACCCGGGCUUAAAUUGCAGUGGAAUGAUGUGGAAACAUGUCAGUGAGCAAUCACCGCUGUGAAGGUGCUGCAUGGUUGUCGUCAGCUCGUGCCGUGAGAUGUCGGCUUAAGUGCCAUAACGAGCGCAACCCUUAUCUUUAGUUACUAACAGGUUAUGCUGAGGACUCUAGAGAGACUGCCGUCGUAAGAUGUGAGGAAGGUGGGGAUGACGUCAAAUCAGCACGGCCCUUACGUCCGGGGCUACACACGUGUUACAAUGGGGGGUACAGAAGGCAGCUAGCGGGUGACCGUAUGCUAAUCCCAAAAGCCUCUCUCAGUUCGGAUCGAAGUCUGCAACCCGACUUCGUGAAGCUGGAUUCGCUAGUAAUCGCGCAUCAGCCACGGCGCGGUGAAUACGUUCCCGGGCCUUGUACACACCGCCCGUCAAGCCAUGGGAGCCGGGGGUACAUGAAGUACGUAACCGCAAGGAUCGUCCUAGGGUA
rnacentral:rRNA from 1 species